UAUAUAUAUAAUAUGAAAAAAAUAAUUUAUUUAUUGACAAAGCAAGACACAUGUGGUUAUAGUGGUUUUAAUACUAUUGAGCUUG